rnacentral:rRNA from 1 species
AUUGAACGCUGGCGGCAGGCCUAACACAUGCAAGUCGAACGAGUGGCGGACGGGUGAGUGAUGUCUGUGAAACUGCCCGCUGGAGGGGGAUAACUACUGGAAACGGUAGCUAAUAACGCAUACCAUCGGAUGUUCCCCGAUGGGAUUAGCUAGUAGGUGGGGUAACGGCUCACCUAGGCGACGAUCCCUAGCUGGUCUGAGAGGAUGACCAGCAACACGGGAACUGAGACACGGCCCAGCUCCCAACGGGAGGCAGAAGUGGGGAAUAUUGCCCAAGGGGCGAAAGCCGGAGGCAGACAUGCCGGGUGUAUGAAGAAGGCCUUGGGGUUGUAAAGUACUUUAAGCGAGGAGGCGUUACCCGAAGAAGAAGCACCGGCUAACUACGUGCCAGCAGCCGCGGUAAUAC